CCAGCCCUGGAUUCCUAGGUCUUCACAUUCAGGGGUCAGCACUGAACACAGUUCACAUGAUGGAUUUGAGGCUGAUUUUGGUUUUCCUUGUUGCUUUCUUAAAAGGUGUCCAGUGUGAAGUGCAGCUGGUGGAGUCUGGGGGAAGCUUAGUGCAGCCUGGAAAGUCCCUAAAACUCUCCUGUGUGGCCUCCGGAUUCACCUUCAGUGAUUACUGGAUGAACUGCGUGCGCCAGGCUCCAGGCAAGGGGCUGGAGUGGGUUGCAGAUAUUAACUAUGAUGGCAGUACCACAAACUAUAUAUCAUCCGUGAAGGGCCGAUUCACCAUCUCCAGAGACAAUGCCAAGAACACACUGUACUUGCAAAUGAACAGUGUGAAGGCUGAAGACACAGCGACUUAUUACUGUACUAGAGACACAGUGAGGGAAUCUCAGUGUGAACCCAGACAUAAACCUCACUGUGAGGCCUCUCAUGGUCACCAGGGGUCACACAGGACACACAGAACUCAGGUUCAUCCCUGGAGGUUAUGCAGACAUGGUUAGAUGAAGCACCCCCAUCAGGUGUCUGGGCUGAAAUUUUUUCUUAAGAUGUCUCCUGAAUUCUUUCUACAUACUGUUUUUUUCUUAGGGAACCAAUGUCCUCAAAACAUCAUAUGUUCUCCAUGUAAGUGUGGAACCUCCCCUCUCUACUCUCCCUGAGGACUGUGCACUGCACUUCAGAUGUGACCCAGCAGUGCUUUUAGCUUAUAAAGUUCAUUACUCCAUCACCUCAUCAUUAUUCACUAUGGGAUGUUUUCAAACUGAAUCUUUCAGAAAAAUAUGUCUGUAUGGAG